ACAGGGAUUGCCCUAGUAACGGCGAGUGAAGCGGCAACAGCUCAAAUUUGAAAUCUGGCGUCUUUGGCGUCCGAGUUGUAAUUUGCAGAGGGCGCUUUGGCAUCGGCAGCGGUUCAAGUUCCUUGGAACAGGACGUCACAGAGGGUGAGAAUCCCGUACGUGAUCGCUAGCCUUUACCGUGUAAAGCCCCUUCGACGAGUCGAGUUGUUUGGGAAUGCAGCUCUAAAUGGGAGGUAAAUUUCUUCUAAAGCUAAAUACUGGCCAGAGACCGAUAGCGCACAAGUAGAGUGAUCGAAAGAUGAAAAGCACUUUGGAAAGAGAGUUAAAAAGCACGUGAAAUUGUUGAAAGGGAAGCGCUUGCAGCCAGACUUGCCUGUAGUUGCUCAUCCGGGUUUUUACCCGGUGCACUCUUCUAUAGGCAGGCCAGCAUCAGUUUGGGCGGUUGGAUAAAGGUCUCUGUCAUGUACCUCUCUUCGGGGAGAACUUAUAGGGGAGACGACAUGCAACCAGCCUGGACUGAGGUCCGCGCAUCUGCUAGGAUGCUGGCGUAAUGGCUGUAAGCGGCCCGUCUUGAAACACGGACCAAGGAGUCUAACAUCUAUGCGAGUGUUUGGGUGUCAAGCCCGAACGCGUAAUGAAAGUGAACGGAGGUGGGAACCUUUCGGGGUGCACCAUCGACCGAUCCUGAUGUCUUCGGAUGGAUUUGAGUAAGAGCAUAGCUGUUGGGACCCGAAAGAUGGUGAACUAUGCUUGAAUAGGGUGAAGCCAGAGGAAACUCUGGUGGAGGCUCGCAGCGGUUCUGACGUGCAAAUCGAUCGUCAAAUUUGGGCAUAGGGGCGAAAGACUAAUCGAACUAUCUAGUAGCUGGUUCCUGCCGAAGUUUCCCUCAGGAUAGCAGUAACGUUUUCAGUUUUAUGAGGUAAAGCGAAUGAUUAGAGGCCUGGGGGUUGAAACAACCUU
rnacentral:rRNA from 1 species